UACAAGCUGCUUUGCUCGUGGUCAUAUAAAGUUUUUACCUUUGAGCUGAAAUAGGGAGUUUUAAAUUGAAACUGGAAUGACAAGUUUCCGUCUAUACGACAAGGAAAACAGGCAGGAUAGUUUCUGCGAACACCCACUUUGAGGAGUGGUGGUUAAAAACUUUCUUAUUAGAAUACGGCAAAAGCGGCUACAUA
rnacentral:other from 1 species